UAAUUGGUCCAUUUUAAACUGCUUCGACCAAUGAAAUUUGAUUCUAUGACCGCCGUCAAAACAAAACAAUAUGGUCGCUAGUAUGUAUCCUACGCACAACGGGAACUGAAUCGGGAUGCGUUGUUAAAAUUUCAUUCUUACAAAAGUGGUAACUGAUUUUCGUCAUUGUCAUGAUCAUUGUACUGUUUCACGUGCUUUACCUCUUUGGAAAGUUUGUAUACCAGAAUUACCGAAUUAGGAAAGAAAAAGCCAUAGACAAUGAGGUGACCAACACGCAGAAACCAUUAGAGAUUUCCGAAAAGGAUUAUAGAAUGAUAGAUCCUGAAGCAGCUCAGGAUUUCAAAGAAAAAUCUUUAAGAUUCUUUCCACCGGCAUACGUACAAAGAUACGUUGCUGUUAGCGAGGUUCUUAAUAGUUUCAAGUAUCAAGGAAAGUUACGCAAGGUUGUUGAUUUUGGAUGCGCAGAACUUGAUUUUUUAGUUUAUCUAAAACACACAACUGGUGUUGAAGAAAUAUUAUGCGUCGAUAUCGAUCGAGUACUAUUAGAAAGUUAUAAAGAGAAGGGUGCUCCUUUGAUUUCUGAGUAUUUACACAGAAGGACAACACCUCUUGUGGUUGAAAUAUUCGAGGGUAGUGUUACCCAUAACGACAAGAAACUAGAAAAGACGGAUGCUGUGAUUUGCAUUGAAUUGAUCGAGCAUUUGUAUCCAGAUACUCUGAUGAAUCUUCCUUAUAAUAUUUUUGGAUUCGUUAAACCAAAAUUAGCAGUGAUAACGACACCAAACGCAGAUUUCAAUGUGCUCUUCCCAAAUUUUUCUGGAUUUAGACACGCUGAUCAUAAAUUUGAAUGGACUAGACAACAGUUCCAAGAUUGGGCCGAAAAUAUAAUUUUAAGAUACCCAGAUUAUAUAGUAACUUUUGAUGGUAUUUGUAAAGGACCCGAAGGUUCGGAACAUUUAGGAUGUUGUACGCAGAUGGCAAUAUUUCAUCGACUUUGCGAAAAAGACGCUUUUAAUACCGGUACAGAGGGUUUAUUUAUAACUGUAGCUAGACACGAAUACCCAUUUCGGGUAGACAAUCGUUCCGACGAGCAAAAGAUUCUCGACGAGGCCGAGUAUUACAUUAGACACUUAUCCUUCCAAGAUAUCGCUAUGGAAGAGGAAGUACCAUUGAAAAAACUAUUGGAAAUGUUAAAAUCCUUUCAAAUUUCUAUAGACAUAUUGCAGUCGAUUUUAGAAGAAGCCGGUUGGACAGUUACGAACGGUGAAUUCGGUCCGGUUGUACAAGUUCCCCCGCGUUCAACAUUUUCUGACUACAGUACCGUCGGAGAAGCUUUCUGGUCCAAUGACUAUUCUACGGAUGAGGAUGAUUGGAACAGAGAUCCUGGACCACCUAUCAAUUCUUCGAGAUUUUUACAGCAAAACAACACUUCAGACGCUUGGGACGAGGAGAAUUGGAACGAGGAGCCAAGUAUUAUCAUCCCAGAAAAUAAUUCCAUCAUCGAAGACAAUACCUAUCUUUUUGACGAAGAAAAUGUUUUAUCAAAUAACAUAUCAGAGGCGAUAAAGGAUAGCGAAACUGCUCUAAGCGAAGGAAAUUUACACCCCGAAACAACCGAUACUGAUCAUGCUUUUCAGUAUAAUUUAUCAUUAGAUUUACAACAAUCUACGACGCUUUUCGUAGAUGCUUCUUUAAAUACUGAAGUAAAAAACUUAAAGGAUGAUGAUCCGUUUCUUAAUUUACCACCACCGGAUGUAUCGCAAUGUACAUUAUUAUCAGAUACCGGACCGAAACUCAAUGAAACGUUAGAUUUUUUCCCAUACUUGUCUGCUUCACGUGCGUCAACUUCACCUGAACCAUAUCUCUUGCAAACUGUUCGAAUCGAGCAGCAUUUCACGCACGAUAGUAGUAUGAGUAAUCAUUGGAUGUUGGAUAAUUCUCUAAAUGUUAGCGGAAACGCAAGUGAUAUCGAAGACAAGAAGUUAUCGCCACAGAGUAAUAUUAACGAUAGUUGUCUACGUAAUAUACAUGUAAAUACCUCGUACAUAGAAAAUGAACAUUCUAAUUUCGAACUUUCAACCAAUAGCGAAAGCAUUAGUUCAAACUAUUUUAGUUUAAAACAAAUGCAAAGUGUUGAGCAACAUCCUGACGACUCGAAAGAUAAUUCUCAAUCGCAUGAUCAAUUACAUUCAAACAGUAGCGUAUCAUCUUUGACCAGUUCUGUUUUGACCGAAAAUCAACCACAGUUUACAAGUUCACCAAAAGUUGCUGGAAAGAUAAAUACUACAGAUAAACAAAGAAGAUCUUUAGAUCCUACCAAGCAAAAAUAUAGUAACAGUUCGUUAAAAAGACUACAGCCAUUCUGCUUAACGAGUCACAAUGGCAACAAUUCGUUAGAAAGUACGAAUAAAGUAUCAUUAGAAAGCGAUAGCAAGAUUAGUUGUAAUGAAAAAGAAAGUGAAAAAUUGUGUGAGAGUGAAAUUGAAAUAUCAACAGAUGGAAAAGACGAUACGUUUACUACAAGUACCGAUGUAUCCACAGUUGCUGCUUUAACGUUAAAUGAUGUUCAUCUUGAACAAGUUACAGAUGAUUUGUCGUUAACAAGUACUUUAAGCAACGAUGAUAAUUUAAAGAAACACAAACUGCUACCCCUAGAUCGUGCUAAUAAUUUCAUUGAGAUCGAAGAAGGAGAACAGCCAAAUGGUUACAUUGCUCAAGCAACAGCAACAGCAGUGCAUUCAAGUACUAUAGAAUCAACAAAUUAUGAUAAAAAAGUUCCAUUAACUGAUCAACAGUUAAUCGUUAAGUCAGCAUCUUGUAUGGAUUUUGUUCAUUUUGUGAAAAAUGAUGAAAAAAAGACUGAAAGAAAAUCUGAAUCACGCGAUAUUUCUAACUUGAGAAGCAAUACAGAUAUAGAUACUAGUAAGUCGACGUAUAAUUAUUAUGCCAAAGAAAUUAGUAGUAUAGAAUGCGUACCUCUUGUAUCUAGUGUUUACGUAGAAAACACACAGAAUGUUCAAUCCACAUCAGUAUUAAAAAAUGAUGAAAAACGAGCUGAAUUUAACGAAUCCACGUGUAAAGCUGUAAAUUCAUCAAAUGGUCUAGAAACAGUAGAAAAUAUCGAAAUAUCGAACAACUCUCCUUCAGAAACUGUGGAAACUCCUCCAAACAGUUGGUCACCUGAAAUAAUGGAUUCUGGUUAUCGAAAUUCAACCUCGGCUCAAGACAUGACACCGGAGUACGACUUAUCAAGUAUAGCACAAGAUCAUAUAUCAGAUUCAGAGCCACCAAGUAUAGCGGAAGCACCGAGGCUUGAACUUCCUGAGGUAAUUGAAGUUGUAAACGGUGAUCUUGUAAACAACAAUAGAGAUAACGAGGGUAAUAAUAUGAUAGCUGCAGAAUUAAAUGAUCUUGAAGAUUUGCAACCAUUGAUUAAUGUACUUGAAAAUGAUAUGGAAAAUGAGAAUGAUAUUUACGUCUUGGAGAAUGGUUUUCCCUUCUGGCUGUUGAGAAUACUUAACAUGGCCAAUCCUAUUGAUGUUGAAAUACAUUUGAGAGAUCAUGGAGAAGUAAGAUUCCCAAAUGCAGCAGCAGGUGACGAUGCAAGAUAUAUAAAUAUGGAACACGACGAGGGUUUCAACAGUAGUUCUGAAGAGAAUAGCAACUUGGAAAACAAUGAGAUGAGAAAUGACAACAACAGUGAUGCCAGUGAUAAUAUUGAAAAUGAUAACGAAAAUAGUGAUAGUGGAAGUGAAGAGUGGAUCGCUGCAAGUAAUUCGUGAUGCUAUUGAAACGAUACUUGAUCAUUCUACCAAUGGUGUCACAUAUAUAUCAUUCUUUGCUACGUUUGCAAAAUUUAAAGACAAAUUCAAAGUGGUCUAGGAAUACCAUUUCACAACGAGUAAUGAAUUCGAUGAAAACAAUUGAAGCGAAGAGGAAUUAUUUUCACUCUGUGACGAGAUAUUUUCUAACUGUUUCUAACUGACGAGCAUCAACCUGAUAGUUUAUCAGUAUGUAUGUUAGAUCUGAAUAGAAAGAAAAUAAUUCACUCGGUUCCAAGUGUAAAGGAAAAGAAGCAUUGGGCGUAUGUGUUUGCACCCCCAGCAAAGAAUAGGGAUUACCCUCUGGUUUACUCGUAAACUCGAGAGGACACCGGUGUCUCUGGAUGCAUUGGCGUUCAUUAAAGCCACGGACACACCCUGAUUUCUCGAUUCACGCAUCGAUCUACCCGCGUUUACAACAUCUUUUUAAACGGUCUGUAAACGUUUUACAUGAUUUUAUUCGCAUCGGUAAUAUCAAGUUGGUUUGACAGAAAGGACAACCUUGGAGUCAGCCAUUCGAGCACUAAGGUACCGGAAGUCUUGUUUGUUACGACUACGACGAAUUACCGAACAACUGGCUGAGAGCGCGCAACAACUUUGAAUUGAUUCGAGUAAUUUUCAUCGUUUCAAUCUUAACAGAUAAUACUGUAAUUGUUUUUAAAGUAAAAAAUUGUAGAAAGGUA